AGCUUUGUGUAGUAGUAGUAUCAUAACUAAUGAGGUUAAUCUGAGGUGUGGUUAUUGCUAUUUGAAAACUUUGCCCAAUACCCUGCUAUGAUAACUUGAAAUAUAGUUGGUAUUGGCGAUUUUUGAUAGUCUCCUGCGAGA